AUUGAACGCUGGCGGCAGGCCUAACACAUGCAAGUCGAACGGUAACAGGAAGCAGCUUGCUGCUUUGCUGACGAGUGGCGGACGGUUGAGUAAUGUCUGGGAAACUGCCUGAUGGAGGGGGAUAACUACUGGAAACGGUAGCUAAUACCGCAUAACGUCGCAAGACCAAAGAGGGGGACCUUAGGGCCUCUUGCCAUCGGAUGUGCCCAGAUGGGAUUAGCUAGUAGGUGGGGUAACGGCUCACCUAGGCGACGAUCCCUAGCUGGUCUGAGAGGAUGACCAGCCACACUGGAACUGAGACACGGUCCAGACUCCUACGGGAGGCAGCAGUGGGGAAUAUUGCACAAUGGGCGCAAGCCUGAUGCAGCCAUGCCGCGUGUAUGAAGAAGGCCUUCGGGUUGUAAAGUACUUUCAGCGGGGAGGAAGGGAGUAAAGUUAAUACCUUUGCUCAUUGACGUUACCCGCAGAAGAAGCACCGGCUAACUCCGUG
rnacentral:rRNA from 1 species